rnacentral:rRNA from 1 species
UAGGGAAUCUUCCACAAUGGACGCAAGUCUGAUGGAGCAACGCCGCGUGAGUGAAGAAGGUUUUCGGACCGUAAAGCUCUGUUGUUGGUGAAGAAGGAUAGAGGUAGUAACUGGCCUUUAUUUGACGGUAAUCAACCAGAAAGUCACGGCUAACUACGUGCCAGCAGCCGCGGUAAUACGUAGGUGGCAAGCGUUGUCCGGAUUUAUUGGGCGUAAAGCGAGCGCAGGCGGAAGAAUAAGUCUGAUGUGAAAGCCCUCGGCUUAACCGAGGAAUUGCAUCGGAAACUGUUUUUCUUGAGUGCAGAAGAGGAGAGUAG